rnacentral:rRNA from 1 species
UACAGAGGUCUCAAGCGUUGUUCGGAUUCAUUGGGCGUAAAGGGUGCGUAGGCGGCGCGGUAAGUCGGGUGUGAAAUCUUGGAGCUUAACUCCGAAACUGCAUUCGAUACUGCCGUGCUUGAGGACUGGAGAGGAGACUGGAAUUUACGGUGUAGCGGUGAAAUGCGUAGAUAUCGUAAGGAAGAACAGUGGCGAAGGCGGGGCUCUGGACAGUUCCUGACGCUGAGGCACGAAGGCCAGGGGAGCAAACGGG